CUGAGAGAUGGAAGUAUUGAGGGACGGUGACUGAUAGGCUAUAAGACAUUUCAGCACCUUCUGUUUGAUGUUGUAAUACUCGCCUUAAUACUUCAAUAGUCACUGGAGAUGUACACAGAACUAUGUCUGGCGCGUUUCAUUUCCAAGACUUUAUCAAAGAGAAAUAAAAAGACUUGUCUCUACUCGUAUGAAAUUUAAGGAUCAUCCUAGCAUGUCUCCUGCGGCUAAUCCGCUACAUCCUUAAUUAGCUCACAGCUGUGUUUUCCCACUGCUCUCAAUGCAUUGUUUGUUACAGAAAAAUACAUGUCACACGUUUACUGUAAAUUACACUCAAUAUAAUUAUAAUGUACAUUUAAA